rnacentral:rRNA from 1 species
GACGAACGCUGGCGGCGUGCUUAACACAUGCAAGUCGAGCGGUGACGGAGAGCUUGCUCCCCGGAUCAGUGGCGAACGGGUGAGUAACACGUGGGCAACCUGCCCCAGACUUCGGGAUAACGCUUCGAAAGAGGUGCUAAUACCGGAUACGAACUCCUUGGGAAUCCUGGGAGUUGGAAAGUUUUUCGGUCUGGGAUGGGCCCGCGGCCUAUCAGCUUGUUGGUGAGGUAACGGCUCACCAAGGCGACGACGGGUAGCCGGCCUGAGAGGGCGACCGGCCACACUGGGACUGAGACACGGCCCAGACUCCUACGGGAGGCAGCAGUGGGGAAUAUUGCGCAAUGGGCGAAAGCCUGACGCAGCAACGCCGCGUGAGGGAUGACGGCCUUCGGGUUGUAAACCUCUUUCAGCAGGGAAGAAGCGAAAGUGACGGUACCUGCAGAAGAAGCACCGGCUAACUACGUGCCAGCAGCCGCGGUAACAC